CAUCUUAGUGGCGGACGGGUGAGUAACGCGUGGGUAACCUGCCUUAUACAGGGGGAUAACACUUAGAAAUAGGUGCUAAUACCGCAUAAGCGCACGGGGCUGCAUGGCCCAGUGUGAAAAACCCCGGUGGUAUAAGAUGGACCCGCGUCUGAUUAGCUUGUUGGCGGGGUAACGGCCCACCAAGGCGACGAUCAGUAGCCGGCCUGAGAGGGUGGACGGCCACAUUGGGACUGAGACACGGCCCAAACUCCUACGGAAGGCAGCAG
rnacentral:rRNA from 1 species